rnacentral:lncRNA from 1 species
AAGCAAAGCCUACCCUAAAAAAGUGACUGCUAUAUGGGGUGUGCCCAUUAACACUACAGUUGUACCUAUGAGCUCUACAACUGUUCCAUUCUAUGCUAUAACUUUAACAUUUUUUCUGCAAUGUGCUACAGAAAACUCACAUUACAUAUAUAUUUUUGACAUUACAACAAUAGAGAUGUACACAAUAUUACUUGUAACACGAGAUUACAAUAAAAUGUGAAAUUGAACGCACCAUAACCACAUAGCUUGAAGAGCAAUGAUAGAUUGACGGAAAUAUAAAGUUACAAAUAUAGAGGGAUACACUAUAUACGUAUAAAUAUUAUUAAUACAUAUAGUACCACACAAUAAGUGUACAUGAUGUCACUGCAUGUACACACCAGUUAUCAAAAUAACAAAAUUAUGACUACUUUCUUGCGAACUAUACCACCGCAAAACGCACAGUUAGGUGGCAUUGGCAGCACAUUAAGGGCUGCCGGUCCAGUGGUGAUAUUCCCAUGACUCUACUUCAACAUUUAUUUUCCAUUCCCGAUUUCCCAACACGAGCGUAAUACAUUCAGGAAUCAUUAGGAGGUCAGCACAUUUGAUCAACAACCGAUAGAACCUUACAUCUUGACGAAGCCGACUUCUCUCAUCUCCACCUAUAAAUUCUCCAAAACUUGAAACAAUAGUUUGUAAAUCUUCAUACCUGUCGCACUGGAGUGGUAAGCCAUGCAAACGGAUCCAUACAUCAUACCGAAAUCUAUGCCGGCGUUCACCAAGGUUGUAUUCCCACGGCACAGCACUAAUUGUGAGUUUGUAGGACUGAAUUGGCGAACGACGGAUAGCUUUAUCCCGAAUCUUGCCGGUAGGAAAGAAUACUACAUAGUCGCCNNN